rnacentral:lncRNA from 1 species
UCAGAAAAAAUAAUAAUUAAUGAAUGCUCAAUGAUUUAGCUGCUAUUUAUAGAGGGUUAACAGAAGGUCCUAGUGUUCUUGUCCAAAACAAAUUCAAUGAUUGUUAGUGGUCUUGAGUUUGAUUUAGAGUCAAGGGCUUGAAUAACUUGAUCUUGAAUCUUAAGUUUUCGAACUUUGAUUGAAUUAUUCAUCACGAACACUUGUAUGGUUAUGACGAACAAUUAGUAUGAACAAGUAACUUGAUCUUGAAUCUUGAUAUUUGCCUUUGUUCUUGAUCUUGAACUUGAACUUUGAACUUGAUUCCUUAAACCUGCAGUUUGUAGAGAAUUUGCAGCCUUUGAUCCACGAGCUCUCUUCUUG